CCCCUUUAUAAUAAAACUCUCAUCUCUCAUCAAUACAAAUUCAUAUCACGCUCACCCUCUCUCUCACGACCCAAACCCUCUCGUUCUUCGCCUCCAACCACCGUUUCAGAUCGUUGUUCAUCAUCGACGAGCCCCAAACCCUCUCAUUCUUCGCCCCGCGAGCAGCAAGUUUCUCUCCGGCUAGUUCCAGUCUCAAACUUUCGUUGUUCGGUCGAGAUUGAAGGCCUCGUACAAGAUCAGAACAACCCAUAUCCCAUCGGGUUCAGAGGCCUACUCUGCUCUUUCCUUCUAGGGUAAGAGCAAUCUGUAUUCAAAUGACGAGAUGAAUCUUCCGCGUGAUCAGUGGAUUAAAUACGUCCGAGCACAGGCAGGGCGACAAGGGCUAUUAUGAUGAUUAGUGUUUAGUUUUUUGUUUAUACUUUACACUAUAACCAGCUACAAUCAUAUAACUAAAGAUUAAUUAAUAUUUUUACUUUAUGUUUGAGUAAGUAGUUUGUAUAUAUUUUAAUUUUUGUUCAUUUUCAAUUUAUGUUUAUACAUUAUUUUAACUAAUUUGUGACAAUGUAUAAAUUAGUAAAAAUUAAUUA